GCAUUUAGUUGAAGCUGCAGGGGAGUGAGGGAGAGGAGGAUAGGAAGCAGGAAAGCGGGAGAGCUCGAGGGACAAGGGGGCUCGGUGUGUUUACACCAGGCACGGGCUACGAGCGUCCAUCCCGGCCCCUGGCUUGCGCUCCCGAAGAGGAGAGCAAGGCUGUUCUGGGAUCCGGCCGUCGUGCGGCAAGAGGCUUGUCUGUCCGGGUUGCCGGAACCAGGAGAACCCAGAGGGAAACCGAGGGAAAGGAGCGGCGCGUUUUACUAGAGAGAGCGCGAGCGGAAGAGGCGAGAGCAGGAGCGCGCGAGGGAGCAUCGAGCGCAGCGGAGACAUGAGGACCUACUGGCUGCACAGCGUCUGGGUGCUGGGCUUUUUCCUGUCCCUCUUCUCAUUGCAAGAUUGUCUGUAAGAAGCUAGGUAAAGACAAAGGAAGAGACAAAUCAAAUUGAAUAAUAGCAAAUUCAAGAGUUUUG
rnacentral:lncRNA from 1 species